rnacentral:lncRNA from 1 species
AAACACCAUUUCAUCUAGGAUGAUGAGGAAAUUUGCAAAGACAAAGGGUGACAUGAUUCCAACAGAAGUCAUCCUUACGAGUUUCAAUGGAGGAGCAACUUCAGCUAAGGGAGUUAUGCCAUUAAACAUAACUAUAGGGACAACUACUAGGACCACAGUCUUCUUUGUAAUAGAUGGUCCUACUAGUUACAAUGUGUUACUAGGAAGAGAUUGGAUACACG